UUGACNUCCUUUGACCNCUCGAGAGAUCGAGCUUUCCCUUCGGGGACAAAGUGACAGGUGGUGCAUGGUUGUCGUCAGCUCGUGUCGNGNNNNNUUGGGUUAAGUCCCGCAACGAGCGCAACCCUUAUUACUAGUUGCCAGCAUUCAGUUGGGCACUCUAGUGAGACUGCCGGUGACAAACCGGAGGAAGGNGGGGAUGACGUCAAAUCAUCAUGCCCCUUAUGACCUGGGCUACACACGUGCUACAAUGGAUGGUACAACGAGUCGCGAAGUCGUGAGGCCAAGCUAAUCUCUUAAAGCCAUUCUCAGNUCGGAUUGUAGGCUGCAACUCGCCUACAUGAAGCCGGAAUCGCUAGUAAUCGCGGAUCANAACGCCGCGNUGAAUACNUUCCCGGGA
rnacentral:rRNA from 1 species